GGAGAGGUGGCCGAGUGGCUUAAGGCAACGGUUUGCUAAACCGUCGUACUGGGUAUUCCUGGUACCGAGGGUUCGAAUCCCUCCCUCUCCG
rnacentral:tRNA from 1 species